CUCGGGACUCCCACGUGGCCCCUGUGGGUGUGGUCGCGAGGUGUCUGUAGCAGGUGGAGGUGCGUCACUGGAUAGGCUGGAGGACCGAUCUUGUGUGGAGUACCUUCGUUUAUCCCGGAGUGGCAGUCCUCACUGCUCAGUCGCCCACGUGAGACUCAAGUAUUCGCAAAACAUCAAUUACAGUACAUAUUUGCCUAUUGAGAUGAUUUUUUUUUUUCAUACCGGGGAUCAAACUUGGGACCUUGCACUUUUGAGGCAGGUGGCGGCGGAACCAAUGAGCUAAAUCCCUGGCCCAGAGAUGAUUUUAAUAUGUGCUACAAG
rnacentral:lncRNA from 1 species